rnacentral:tRNA from 1 species
UAAGACUCGCAGGGCACUAACCCGCAUCUUCUAAAUGCAACUCAGACGCUUUAAUUAAGCUAGAGCCUU